UCACCAAUAAUAGGUCACACAACACUGUGGUCUAUUCUGGGCUUUACCUUAAUAGUUUCUACCCAAACUGGUAACAGUGUUAAUAGACCACAAAAACGUGUGAUCUUAAUGUUUAUCACUGGAUCACCUAGGUACUAUAUUUAAGCGGUGGUUCAAACCUAGAUUCAAUAUUAUUUUCUUUUUCUCUCUCCUCUCGUUCCCUUCUCCAGGAAUCCCACAGGAAAAAUCUGAAACCCUCGAUCUUAAUGUUUAAGUUUCAUAUCACUGUUCCAGUACUUUCAAAAUUGAUGGAGAAAUUUGAGUAUGAGUUCAUUUUGAAUUCAAAGGUUAGGGUUUGAUUGAUGGUUUCUUAGCAUCUCUUAAUCCUCCGAUUUAAUUGCGAUCGCCAAUGUUCAACAUCAUCAAUGGUUUGAUGUUGUCUUCGGUUGUAUAGAUGGAGGUUUUCCUUCACGAAUUAAUAUCAGCUUAAUACAAAUGCAUUUAAUGAAUACUAUCAAAGCAGGAGAGCUGUUAAUUCUGAGACCAUGAUUGGGUUGACAAGCAAAUUGGUCACCACUUUAGGAGUGAUUGAUUUAGUUCAUCUGGUGUAUGAAUGGCUAAGGAGAGCAAGAUGAUGAUUUGAAUUGUACUUGGAAAGUAAGGUCAGUUGAUGUCUGCAAUGUAGAAUGGAAAGCAAAUGGUGCAGGAGGGAGCUUUGGCAGCUCUAGUAUGAGUAGCUGAUUCGUCACAGGAAGUUUAGUAGAUUGAUGAAUCGAGGGUGAAGGUGAUGGUGCUGAACUUGAUUGAGAUCUUGAAGAAGAAGAAAAAGAAAUGGGUGUGAGAGGUUUAAUUUUGUGGUGUGAAUUUGAAAUGGAUUUGAGUCUGUUAUGAUGCUCGAUGUGAUGAAUUGAAGACUUUUAGAAGCUCAGAUUAUAAUGGAAGAACAAGGAGUAAUAGGUUGAUGUUGCGGUGAUUGAUUGGUUUCGAGAUAUCAAAACAGGGAUUUCUGAGCUCGAGUUCUGGUGGAUAUGAAGUUGAGUUUGAAGAACUAGAUGCUAAGAAGGAUGGGUUUGCUGAUUCCGAGAAGAACAAGAAUUUGCUGAUACUAGUUGUUGUGAUUGCAGAGAAGAUGCAAGUUACAGGAAAUGAGCUUUGGUGGUGAAUGAAUGGCAUGUGGUGUUGAUGCUUUUCAAUGAUGGAGACUCAGGUGAUGUGUGUUGUGUGGGUAUCAAUUGAACUCAGUUGCAGGGAAGUGACUGGUGGAGCAAAUGGAGACAAGUCUAGAGUUCUGGUGGCGCUUUUGUUGCAGUGGUGCUCCUACUGGUGAUGUUGGUGGUUCAAAACAAGGGCCAGAGUUGUUGUUGGAGUCAGAAAAUCUCCGUCAAGCUCAGCUGCAGGAUCUUCUUCAUUUCCGCGAAGUCCUGGAAGGGCAGAGACUUUGGUACUCCCUGGAUCGCGCCGGAAGAAGAGAAAGUGGCGAAAUGUGUGCAAUGAAGGAGGUUACACUUUUUGCUGAUGAUGCAAAGUCAAGAGAAAGUGCGAAGCAGCUGGAGCAAGUAAGACUUCCAAUAGAUUGUAGGAGCUUGGUUGUCUUCUUGUGUUCUAAAAAGAAGAAAAUGCAAAAGAAAAAAUUGGAUAAAGAAGAGUGGGUGACUGUUUAUGGGCUUGCAAUUUAUCGCAAUUCUUAUCUGGUGUACUGGGUGUUAUGGGUGCAAGGCUGGUGAUAAGAUACUGUGUGAUACAUGGAAGGCUAGGUUGUAAUGGGUAUUAUAGGUGCAAGGCUGGUGUUAAGAUACUGUGUGAUACAGGGAAGGCUAUGGUGGUGUUGGAAUUGGUCAAGAAGAUACAAAAGAAUGCAUAACCUGUUAUGCAUCAACAAAGUUUGUUGCAUAACUUGUUAUGCAAUUCAG